UACGAAGGGGGCUAGCGUUGCUCGGAAUCACUGGGCGUAAAGCGCACGUAGGCGGUUUGCUAAGUCAGGGGUGAAAUCCUGGAGCUCAACUCCAGAACUGCCUUUGAUACUGGCGGACUUGAGUCCGGGAGAGGUGAGUGGAACUGCGAGUGUAGAGGUGAAAUUCGUAGAUAUUCGCAAGAACACCAGUGGCGAAGGCGGCUCACUGGCCCGGUACUGACGCUGAGGCACGAAAGCGUGGGGAGCAAACAGG
rnacentral:rRNA from 1 species